GUGGGUAGGUAGGUAGGUAUACAGGUGGGCAGGAAGGUAGGUGAACAGGUGGGUAGGUGGGCAGGUGGCUAGGUGAGUAAGUGGUUAGGUGAACAGGUGGGCAGGUGAGCAGGUGGUUAGGUGAACAGGUGGGCAGGUGGCUAGGUGAGUAAGUGGUUAGGUGAACAGGUGGGUAGGUGAACAGGUGGGCAGGUGAGCAGGUGGUUAGGUGAGCAGGUGGGCAGGUGGGUAGGUGAACAGGUGGGUGGGUGAACAGGUGGCCAGGUGAACAGGUGGGCAGGUGAGCAGGUGGGUAGGUAAACAGGUGGGCAGGUAGGUAGGUAAACAGGUGAUUAGGUGAACAGGUGGGUGGGUGAACAGGUGAUUAGGUAAACAGGUGGGCACGUGGGCAGGUGGGUAGGUGAACAGGUGGGUAGGUGAACAGGUGGGUAGGUGAGCAGGUGGGCAGGUGGGUAGGUGAAUAGGUGGGUAGGUGAACAGGUGGGCAGGUGAGUAGGUGAACAGGUGGGUAGGUGAACAGGUGGGCAGGUGGGCAGGUGGGCAGGUGGGCAAGUGGCUGCUGUUCCCGUGGGCCUGGCUGCCUCCUGUGCACUCUGGGGCUGCAGCUCUGGUCUUAGGCUGAGCUCCGAGGCCUCUCUGGGGGAAGAGAGAGGGGCUUACAGCAUGUCCUUGG
rnacentral:lncRNA from 1 species